rnacentral:snRNA from 1 species
GUGCUCACUUCGCAUUACAUAUAUCAAAAUUGGAACAAAAGAGAUUAGCAUGGCCUCUCCUUACAGAUGAAACGCAAAUUCGUGAAUUGUUCCAUAUUUAA